rnacentral:misc_RNA from 1 species
GAUGAAGAACGUAGCGAAAUGCGAUAAGUAAUGUGAAUUGCAGAAUUCAGUGAAUCAUCGAAUCUUUGAACGCACAUUGCGCCCGCCAGCAUUCUGGCGGCAUGCCUGUUCGAGCGUCAUUUCAACCCUCGAGCCCCCCCGGGGGCCUCGGUGUUGGGGGACGGCACACCAGCCGCCCCCGAAAUGCAGUGGCGACCCCGCCGCAGCCUCCCCUGCGUAGUAGCACACACCUCGCACCGGAGCGCGGAGGCGGUCACGCCGUAAAACGCCCAACUUUCUUAGAGUUGACCUCGGAUCAGGUAGGAAUACCCGCUGAACUUAAGCAUAUCAAUAAGCGGAGGA